UUACUAAAUACAAUAUUUUUUUUUGUUUUCACUGCAAGAAGUUACGAAAAUGUGCUUCUAUUUAUUUUUUCUGAUUAGGUUUUGUUUAAACGUCUUAACUGCUUAUAAGGAUAUUUUUGGAAAGUACAUUUGUAUGGUUGUUUUUUUAGAAUCAGUUUUGCAGAAUUAUUUUUACGAAAUUUUGUUCGUUGAACUUUAUUUUUUUUAGAAUUUUUCAAAAAAGACCAUAUUAAUAGGAAUAUAUAAAAAAAAUUGUCUUCAAAUUAUUUUAAAAAAAUCUAAAUAAAUAAAAAAUAUAUAAAAACAUGUUCUUAACAACCAUUAAUAGAAAAAAUAAUUCUGAAAAAUAAUAGAAUCUUUUGAGUUGGUAUAAAGGCCCAGUUUAGUCUUUUUUUUUAAUUUUUUAGCUGCUUUAAUUUUUUUCGUUCAUAGAAAAAAAAUAUUUUACUGUUUGAUCAAAAUUUUAUACUUUAUUUCUCUUAAAUAAAGUAUAAAGAUUUAAAAAUAUUUUUAAAAUAUUUUAAAAAUAUAAAGAUUUUAUUCAAAUUUGAAAAAAGUACACUAAAUCUAUUAACUAAUUUAUCAGAAAAAUAUUUUUUUAUUUUUAGUGAUUUUUUUUCUCAAAUUAAAUAAAAUAUUUUAUAUUUUCAUACUAAUCUCUCCCCGAGGAUUGUGAAAAGAUUGUGCAAUUUUGAUUAAACGGUUAAAAUAGUUUAUUAAACGAAAAAAAAACUUAAAAUCAAAAUCAAUUAAAAAUCUUAUUAAAAAAAAGGUUGCUGGCCGAAACUGGGCUUGUUAUGUUGGUAGUGACAAAAGGCCUGUUCGCCCACAAACCAUAAAUUUAAUUUAAAAACGAUCCAUUUUUCAUCUCGAUGGACUGGGCCGGGCCCAUGUGGGAAUCCGAAAUGUACCAUCGGCCCAUCAGCAUUUUCGUGGAAAAUUUUGUACAUGGGUGAAGAUUAAAUUAUACAGGAUAUGUUAAAAAUAAUAACGUCUACAUUUGAAUAUUAUUAUCUCAUGACCCAACAUUUAUAAUUCUUUUUUUUUCCUUCUUACUUUGAAUUUAACAUAUCUACUCAAUUAGAUCCGGCACACUACUGGUCUGAUAUUUGAGACUCAUAAGAUAUUUUCUCUUAAAAGAUAAAUGGAUUUUUUAAUGCUUAGGCGUUAAAAAACGACAUAUGGCCAUGGUAGGGUAGCGUGUGGAAAUUAGGAGGUACAUGAAUUCAAUGCUUAUCUGAAGUAUCUAAAUCAAACGACCAAUUAUCAUUGAACCAAGUGAGUAUUGCGUAUAAAAUGGUGACGACUAACUACUUAAGUCACUUUUGGAACUAAUAUAUGAAAAAUCAAUCAAAAAUUCCUAGCCGUCAUUGGAAAAUUUGAUUCUAGAUGGGGAUUGCUUCUCUUUGAAACACAUUGGGGUUAUUUUGACCAAUUAAUGUGUUUGCCUAGGGAACGGGGAAAUUUUCUAGCUGGUUUGUUGUCUCACCAAAUUUUUAAUCCAAACACAACCUUAAGGUUACCUUGAAAAGUAUUUAGAAAACAGGAAUUGUGUACAAGAUUUAUUUUCAUAGUACUAUUAGAAAUGAGUAUGCUUUAACAAAGUCAUUUUGAGUCUAUGGGCUACUAGAUCAUUAUAGAACACCAGCUUCUUCGAAGAGGCACGGGUAGUGGAAAAUUCCAAACGCCUUCCCAAUUUACAUGUUUUUGGCAACUUUUCCUUUAACAACUUUGGUAUUGACUACAAAUUUGGAAUUUGCUAUUUUAAUCCAAAGGUUCAUUUUCUAUAUUCUAGAUGCAUUGUUUCUAGAGUCGUUGGUGGAAUCCAUUACUUGUAUUGGGUCAAGUUGCCUAAUUUCCUUUCCUUUUCCCAGAAAAGGAAAGCAAUGAUUAAGAUUUAAAAAGGAAAAUGAUUUCUGCACAAUACAAUUUUGAUUUUUGCAUUCCAUUUUUUAAUUUUUGCAUUUUAAAUUUUUUAUAAUUUUUACAUAACAAAGACAAAAAAUAGAGUGCAAAAAUCAUUUUCCUUUAAAAAUUGUAUUAGAAUAUAUGAAAAAUGUAUGAAAAGUGCAUAAAUUACUCUGCCGAUUUAAGGUGUGAGUCGUAUACCUAAGUGAUGAUGUGAAAUCCAUGCCUCAUAUAAAUAUCGAGUAAUUCAUACGAUAAUUAUGGAGUAUCUUUAGUAUUACUAAAAAAUAAUAUUUUAAUAAAUAAAAGUCACAGAUAUUUUGUUAGUAUGCCAUUCAAUAACAUUUAACAAUAGGGGACCCAAGAAUUGUGCUGAGAAAACUCAUUGAAUGAUAUAUGUGAGGUUUUUAAGAAGUUUGUGGGACCACCUCUAAGGUCAUGUUUGGAUUAAAAAAAUGACAAAGAAAAGAGAAAAAAAUUAUUGCAAAAAAAAAUAUUUAUAAAAAAUGAAUUAAAUAAAGGAAAGAAAAAAAAAUCUAAUUUUCUUGGCAUGUUUAUUUGAUAAAAAUAAUUUUUUAAGAAAACUAAAAUA
rnacentral:lncRNA from 1 species